UACGUAGGUGGCGAGCGUUGUCCGGAAUUACUGGGUGUAAAGGGCGUGUAGACGGGUAUGCAAGUCAGAUGUGAAAUACCAGGGCUUAACUCUGGGGCUGCAUCUGAAACUGUGUAUCUUGAGUGCUGGAGAGGAAAGCGGAAUUCCCAGUGUAGCGGUGAAAUGCGUAGAUAUUAGGAGGAACACCAGUGGCGAAGGCGGCUUUCUGGACAGUAACUGACGUUGAGGCGCGAAAGCGUGGGGAG
rnacentral:rRNA from 1 species